rnacentral:rRNA from 1 species
UGGGUAACCUGCCUUAUAGUGGGGGAUAGCCUUUCGAAAGGAAGAUUAUACCGCAUAAGAUUGUAGUAUCGCAUGAUAUAGCAAUUAAAGGAGCAAUUCGCUAUAAGAUGGACCCGCGUCGCAUUAGCUAGUUGGUGAGGUAAUGGCUCACCAAGGCGACGAUGCGUAGCCGACCUGAGAGGGUGAUCGGCCACAUUGGGACUGAGACACGGCCCAGACUCCUACGGGAGGCAGCAUG